rnacentral:rRNA from 1 species
AACGUAGGACACGAGCGUUAUCCGGAGUUACUGGGCGUAAAGGGCGGGUAGGUGGUGCGAUAAGACUGGUGUGAAAGCCUUCGGCUUAACCGAGGGAGGACACUGGUGACUGGCGGACUUGAGGCAGAUAGAGGGGUGUAGAAUUCCACGUGUAGCAGUGAAAUGCGUAGAGAUGUGGAGGAAUACCGAUGGCGAAGGCAGCCCCCUGGGACAUGACUGACGCUCAUGCACGAAAGCGUGGGGAGCAAACAGG